rnacentral:piRNA from 1 species
ACCUGGCUCUCUGGACAGAAGAAAAAUGU